GCUGGGUACAGUGGCACAUGCCUGUAGUCCCAGCUACUCAGGAGGCUGAGGCUGGAGGAUCGCUUGAGCCCAGGAGUUCUGGGCUGUAGUGUGCUAUGCCAAUCAGGUGUCCGCACUAAGUUUGGCAUCAAUAUGGUGACCUCCUAGGAGCGGGGGAACACCAGCUUGCCUAAGGAGGGGUGAGAUGGCCCAGGUUGGAAACAGAGCAGGUCAAAACUCCUGUGCUGAUCAGUAGUGGGAUAACGCCUGUGAAUAGCCAUUGCACUCCAGCCUGGGCAACAUAGCAAUAUCCUAUCUCU
rnacentral:SRP_RNA from 1 species